rnacentral:rRNA from 1 species
UAGGGAAUCUUCGGCAAUGGGGGGAACCCUGACCGAGCAACGCCGCGUGAGUGAAGAAGGUUUUCGGAUCGUAAAGCUCUGUUGUUAAGGAAGAACGAGUGUGAGAAUGGAAAGUUCAUGCUGUGACGGUACUUAACCAGAAAGGGACGGCUAACUACGUGCCAGCAGCCGCGGUAAUUCGUAGGUCCCGAGCGUUGUCCGGAUUUAUUGGGCGUAAAGCGAGCGCAGGCGGUUAGAAAAGUCUGAAGUGAAAGGCAGUGGCUCAACCAUUGUAGGCUUUGGAAACUGUUUAACUUGAGUGCAGAAGGGGAGAGUGGAAUUCCAUGUGUAGCGGUGAAAUGCGUAGAUAUAUGGAGGAACACCGGUGGCGAAAGCGGCUCUCUGGUCUGUAACUGACGCUGAGGCUCGAAAGCGUGGGGAGCGAACAGG